rnacentral:tRNA from 1 species
UCCCUGAUAGCUCAGUUGGUAAAGAAUCUGCCUGCAAAGCAGGAGACACGGGUUCGAUUCCUGGGUUGGGAA